AUCACCUGGGUCUUGUUAAAAUGCAGAAUUGAAAUCAGUAGAUGUAGGAUAGGAUCUGAGAUUCUGCAUUUCCAACAAGCUCCCAGGUGAUGCCAA
rnacentral:pre_miRNA from 1 species